AAAAAAUAGUCCAUCUAAUUUCUCAGAUUAAAUAAAACAGUUUGAAAUUUUAACUUACAUUUCAUUGUGAUGUUACUAAUUUUUAUUUUUUUUCUUUUCAUGCAAUGUGAAUUCUCUAGUUUGGAACCCAUCUCUAAUGCUGUAAAUAUGUUUGAUAAUACAACAAAUGUUUCAGCGUAUCCCGACAAAGUUUUACAAGCGGUUAGUGAUGGUGGCUACGUUUUCAGCAAGGUAUUUGGCAAAAUAGUGGCAAAUAAGCGUUUAGUUGGUCUUGAUUCAAAGUGGUACUGGUGACAAUAAUCAAUAAUAUUAGUCCUUCCAUCAGAGCUGAAGCCUGGUCAUCGUCUAGUCCCGAUCUUAAUCCGUUGGAUUAUGAUUUAUAGUCAUCAUGAUGACAUGAUAAUUUGAAGUCCCUAACACAAUCCAUAGGAUUGGAAGUGAAGAGUUUUCCCAUUGAGAGAGUGCGUGCUUCUACCGAUAUCUAGCUUCAACGUUUAAAGGACUGUAUU